rnacentral:tRNA from 1 species
GGGCCCGUGGUCCAGUGGUUAAGAGGUAAGGGGUUUCUCCCUUCCUAACAAACAUCACCCUCACACGGUGGUUACCGGGGUUCGAAUCCCCGCGGGCCCACCA